rnacentral:rRNA from 1 species
AUUGAACGCUGGCGGAAUGCUUUACACAUGCAAGUCGAGCGGCAGCGCGGCCUUCGGGCUGGCGGCGAGCGGCGAACGGGUGAGUAAUGCAUCGGAACAUGCCCAGUCGUGGGGGAUAACACUUCGAAAGAAGUGCUAAUACCGCAUACGUCCUGAGGGGGAAAGCGGGGGAUCGCAAGACCUCGCGCGAUUGGAGUGGCCGAUGUCAGAUUAGCUAGUUGGUGGGGUAAAGGCCUACCAAGGCGACGAUCUGUAGCUGGUCUGAGAGGAUGAUCAGCCACACUGGGACUGAGACACGGCCCAGACUCCUACGGGAGGCAGCAGUGGGGAAUUUUGGACAAUGGGGGCAACCCUGAUCCAGCCAUUCCGCGUGAGUGAAGAAGGCCUUCGGGUUGUAAAGCUCCUUCGGCAGGAACGAAACGGUGGGCCCUAACAUAGUCCGCUAAUGACGGUACCUGAAGAAGAAGCACCGGCUAACUACGUG